rnacentral:rRNA from 1 species
GAUGAACGCUGGCGGCGUGCCUAAUACAUGCAAGUCGAGCGAACGGACGAGAAGCUUGCUUCUCCGAUGUUAGCGGCGGACGGGUGAGUAACACGUGGAUAACCUACCUAUAAGACUGGGAUAACUUCGGGAAACCGGAGCUAAUACCGGAUAAUAUUUUGAACCGCAUGGUUCAAAAGUGAAAGACGGUCUUGCUGUCACUUAUAGAUGGAUCCGCGCUGCAUUAGCUAGUUGGUAAGGUAACGGCUUACCAAGGCAACGAUGCAUAGCCGACCUGAGAGGGUGAUCGGCCACACUGGAACUGAGACACGGUCCAGACUCCUACGGGAGGCAGCAGUAGGGAAUCUUCCGCAAUGGGCGAAAGCCUGACGGAGCAACGCCGCGUGAGUGAUGAAGGUCUUCGGAUCGUAAAACUCUGUUAUUAGGGAAGAACAUAUGUGUAAGUAACUGUGCACGUCUUGACGGUACCUAAUCAGAAAGCCACGGCUAACUACGUGCCAGCAGCCGCGGUAAUACGUAGGUGGCAAGCGUUAUCCAGAAUUAUUGGGCGUAAAGCGCGCGUAGGCGGUUUUUUAAGUCUGAUGUGAAAGCCCACGGCCCAACCGUGGAGGGUCAUUGGAAACUGGAAAACUUGAGUGCAGAAGAGGAAAGUGGAAUUCCAUGUGUAGCGGUGAAAUGCGCAGAGAUAUGGAGGAACACCAGUGGCGAAGGCGACUUUCUGGUCUGUAACUGACGCUGAUGUGCGAAAGCGUGGGGAUCAAACAGGAUUAGAUACCCUGGUAGUCCACGCCGUAAACGAUGAGUGCUAAGUGUUAGGGGGUUUCCGCCCCUUAGUGCUGCAGCUAACGCAUUAAGCACUCCGCCUGGGGAGUACGACCGCAAGGUUGAAACUCAAAGGAAUUGACGGGGACCCGCACAAGCGGUGGAGCAUGUGGUUUAAUUCGAAGCAACGCGAAGAACCUUACCAAAUCUUGACAUCCUUUGACAACUCUAGAGAUAGAGCUUUCCCCUUCGGGGGACAAAGUGACAGGUGGUGCAUGGUUGUCGUCAGCUCGUGUCGUGAGAUGUUGGGUUAAGUCCCGCAACGAGCGCAACCCUUAAGCUUAGUUGCCAUCAUUAAGUUGGGCACUCUAAGUUGACUGCCGGUGACAAACCGGAGGAAGGUGGGGAUGACGUCAAAUCAUCAUGCCCCUUAUGAUUUGGGCUACACACGUGCUACAAUGGACAAUACAAAGGGCAGCGAAACCGCGAGGUCAAGCAAAUCCCAUAAAGUUGUUCUCAGUUCGGAUUGUAGUCUGCAACUCGACUACAUGAAGCUGGAAUCGCUAGUAAUCGUAGAUCAGCAUGCUACGGUGAAUACGUUCCCGGGUCU